ensembl:lncRNA
GUUACAGAGUCACACUAGAGCAGAGUCAGAACCAAACGCAGCUUUACAGAGUCACACUAGAGCGGAGUCAGCACCAAACACAGCUUUACAGAGUCACGCUAGAGCGGAGUCAGAACCAAACGCAGCGUUACAGAGUCACACUAGAGCGGAGUCAGCACCAAACGCAGCGUUACAGAGUCACACUAGAGCGGAGUCAGAACCAAACACAGCUUUACAGAGUCACAUUAGAGCGGAGUCAGAACCAAACGCAGCUUUACAGAGUCACACUAGAGCGGAGUCAGAACCAAACACAGCGUUACAGAGUCACACUAGAGCGGAGUCAGCACCAAACACAGCGUUACAGAGUCACACUAGAGCGGAGUCAGAACCAAACGCAGCUUUACAGAGUCACACUAGAGCGGAAUCAGAACCAAACGCAGCUUUACAGAGUCACAUUAGAGCAGAGUCAGAACCAAACGCAGCUUUACAGAGUCACAUUAGAGCGGAGUCAGAACCAAACACAGCUUUACAGAGUCACAUUAGAGCGGAGUCAGCACCAAACGCAGCGUUACAGAGUCACACUAGAGCGGAGUCAGAACCAAACACAGCUUUACAGAGUCACACUAGAGCGGAGUCAGCACCAAACGCAGCUUUACAGAGUCACACUAGAGCGGAGUCAGAACCAAACACAGCUUUACAGAGUCACACUAGAGCGGAGUCAGCACCAAACGCAGCUUUACAGAGUCACACUAGAGCGGAGUCAGAACCAAACAGUCACAUUAGAGCGGAGUCAGCACCAAACGCAGCUUUACAGAGUCACGCUAGAGCGGAGUCAGAACCAAACACAGCUUUACAGAGUCACACUAGAGCGGAGUCAGAACCAAACAGUCACAUUAGAGUGCAGUCAGCACCAAACACAGCUUUACAGAGUCUGGAGAGAGCUGGAGCUUGAAUUCACUGCUGAACCCAGAGAACAUGAACCAGAUCAGUCAAAGAUGAACAUCAGCUGCAGAAAUGAGUUACAUGUCAUGAUACGGAGAUUUCAAUAUUUCAAACAGUCUGCAUGUCCAAAUAAAAUAAAAGCUCACUUGAUCGACAGGAACCCAAAAUGCUCAGAAAACUUUGGAUAUUUUCCUUCAGCUCUGUGAUGGUUUCUGUGCUCCUCCAGAAGCAGAAACGAUGGACACAGUCUUCUUGAUGGGAGUUUUCUGAAGUCUGGAAAAAAGUGAUUCAUAAACUCAUGACUCAGAGCUCAGUCUAAAUUCUAAACUCUCAAGCAUGAAUUGGUUUCUUCACAAAGCAGCAGAUUCUCUGUGUUUUUCCACACAGACCAGAGACUCGCCUGAACAUUUUCCAGCUGAAACUCCUCCAGAUCUUCUUAUAUAAGCAGUGAUUGUCAGAUGAUCAGCUGUGUCUCAUAAACCCAUCACAUUACACUUAAUCACUUCAAAACAGUGUUUUAUGGCUGUAAACUCCAGGAACAGAUCAAUCCCAAAUCCAUGAUUAAAGUGGAAAUGAAUCCUGUGUGUUUCUGAUGCUGGUAAUGUCCAAAUAUAUUAGAAACCCAGUUUUGCCUAGAGAUGGAGAAACAAAUCUUUCCAGAUAAAAAAAA